rnacentral:rRNA from 1 species
GUAAGGAAUAUUGGUCAAUGGGCGGAAGCCUGAACCAGCCAUGCCGCGUGCAGGACGACGGCCCUACGGGUUGUAAACUGCUUUUGCCCGGGAAUAACCCCCCGCUCUUGAGCGGGGCUGAACGUACCGGGAGAAUAAGGAUCGGCUAACUCCGUGCCAGCAGCCGCGGUAAUACGGAGGAUCCGAGCGUUAUCCGGAUUUAUUGGGUUUAAAGGGUGCGUAGUCGGCCUGUUAAGUCAGGGGUGAAAUACGGCAGCUCAACUGUCGCAGUGCCCUUGAUACUGACGGGCUUGAAUACCGGUGAAGGCGGCGGAAUGAGACAAGUAGCGGUGAAAUGCAUAGAUAUGUCUCAGAACCCCGAUUGCGAAGGCAGCUGCCUAACCGGCGAUUGACGCUGAUGCACGAAAGCGUGGGGAUCGAACAGGAUUAGAAACCCGAGUAGUCC